CAUCUAAAAUCAAUCCCUAAACAUGUAGUAUAUUGACAUAAAAUCAAUAUGCCCUCAGGCAUCUUAAUUGACCAAACAAUCAUGUUUAACCACAUAUACCAUGUAACCAAGUAAUCAACUAAUUUUUAUGUCUAAUCGCAUUUGUAGAAGCCCAAUUUCACCCGGGCCUAUUACAAACAAAUAAAACACAAAAUAACCCAUUUCCAACAGACCCAAACCCAUUACCAAAAUACCCAAACUAAACCCACCUAAACAGGCCCAAUAGCCUAACCUCGACCCAAACCCAAAAAAUUUUAGGGUUUCAGACCCCUAACUCUCCCUAGCCUAGCGCCGCAACCACCCUUGGUCUUCUGCUCACCUGCUCUGCCAGCAACCAUCGCCAACUGCCACUGUCAUCUCCAUCCACGUGCGCUGAUCCCUGCAAACAAAUCAAGGCAGACAUGACAAGCAUAGGAAAUAGACUAGAAAUCUCAUGUAAAUCGGCUAUAAAGCCAAGAAUAUGUAUUGUAAAAUGGCCCUAUCUCUUUUUCACGAUUUCAAGAAAUAAAAAGUAAAAAAAACAGAUUCAAGGACUCUUUGUUUUCGGUAUAAGAUCUAAUUCCUUUUUUUAUUUUUAUUUUUUUCUUCCUUUUGAAACUGUUUAUAUACAUACAUAUAUUUCUUUAGUUUUCUCUUUUAACUAUUAUACAUAUACAUUGAAAAAGAUUUACAAAAAGAAGAAGAAGAAAAAAGCGCACCUUUUCAACUUCCUGGCUAUUGCGGACGGCGGCGCCGUCGCCGGUGACAGGCGGCCUGCGCAACGGUGGUCGGCCGGAUCUCUGACCGGCAUCUGGAAAGGGGAGAGAGGGCUUGAGAGAAUUUUAGGUUUUUUUUAAAUAAAAGGCAGAAAAUGAAAUUUUUAAGAAAAAUUUGAUUUAUAUAGGCAUUCAAAACGGCACCGUUUUGGGCAUGCCUCUCUGGCACCAAAACGAUGCCGUUUUGCCUUUAAACCCGAUCCAAUCGACCCGACCCACUCCAAGAUCCGCGUGUUUUUUCUGUCAUGGGAUAUUUGCACCUUUGGCCCCUUCGCAUUUUCGAUUCGUUUCGAUUUUGUCCUUUUGGUUAUUUAUCUAUUUUAUAAAUUUGGCCCCGUUGUUUUGUCCGAUUUUUAAUCAGGUCCCUGACCUAUUUUCGCGCAGAAAAACGGACACGUGUCCAGAUUUUUUUUACCCAUUUGGUCCUUAGACUUUUGCGUUGUCCUUGUUUUAACCCUCAUUUAUUUAUUUUGUUGUAAUUUUACUCUUAAACUUCGUUUUAUUGUGAUUCGGUCCUUAAUUUACUAAUUUCUUUUAAUCCUACAUUUUGGUUAUUUAUUUAUUUGUUUUAAGGUUAUAUAUAUUAUUAUUUUAUAUAUUAUUAUCUAUGUUAAAUUGUUUAAUAUUAUUAAUUUCAAAUUGUCUCAUACAUUUUUAUAAUAUGUAUAUACACGUACAUACUUUUUAUUUAUUAAAUAUUUUUUU
rnacentral:lncRNA from 1 species